rnacentral:misc_RNA from 1 species
GAUGAAGAACGUAGCGAAAUGCGAAAAGUAAUGUGAAUUGCAGAAUUCAGUGAACCAUCGAAUCUUUGAACGCACAUUGCGCCCGCUGGAACUCCGGCGGGCACGCCUGUCCGAGCGUCAUUUCAACCCUCAGGCCCCCCUUCGCGGGCGGGCCUGGUGUUGGGGCCCGGCCGCUACCCUGCGGCCGUCCCCUAAAUUCAGUGGCGGCCUCGCCGUGAUCCCUUGCGUAGUAAUGCACCUCGCACCGGAGAGCGCCGUGGCCACGCCGUAAAACCCCCAAUUUUCAAUGGUUGACCUCGGAUCAGGUGGGAAUACCCGCUGAACUUAAGCAUAUCAUAAGCGGAGGA